UGGCAAUGAUGAUACUCUUUUACCCAGCUCAUUAUGAGGCUUCCCUUUGUGGGUUGUCAUGGAUAUGAACUUUUUCCUUUGUAUCUGAGCUAA
rnacentral:snoRNA from 1 species